UGCAAGUCUGGUGCCAGCAGCCUCGGUAAUUCCAGCUCCAAUAGCGUAUAUUAAAGUUGUUGCAGUUAAAAAGCUCGUAGUUGAACCUUGGGCUUGGUUGGCCGGUCCGCCUUUUUGGCGAGUACUGGACCCAACCGAGCCUUUCCUUCUGGCUAACCUUUCGCCCUUGUGGUGUUUGGCGAACCAGGACUUUUACUUUGAAAAAAUUAGAGUGUUCAAAGCAGGCCUUUGCUCCAAUAUAUUAGCAUGGAAUAAUAGAAUAGGACGUUAUGGUUCUAUUUUGUUGGUUUCUAGGACCAUCGUAAUGACUAAUAGGGACGGUCGGGGGCAUCAGUAUUCAGUUGUCAGAGGUGAAAUUCUUGGAUUACCUGAAGACUAACUACUGCGAAAGCAUUUGCCAAA
rnacentral:rRNA from 1 species